rnacentral:rRNA from 1 species
GCCCCCCUCAAGAUGAGAUUUCCCAAUUCGUAAGACCCCUGGUAGACGACCAGGUUGAUAGGUUCGGGGUGGAAGCGCAGCAAUGCGUGCAGCUGACGAAUACUAAUCGGUCGAGGGCUUAUCCAAA